rnacentral:lncRNA from 1 species
GGAACACAGGGCUUUAUACAUGCCGGGUAAUUAAAGUUAGCCUGAGCUACAUGUCAGAUUUGAGGGUACCCUGGGCUACAAGAGACCAGGUCAUAAAACAACAGUCAAAAGAAAAAACCCUGAAGACCGAGAUCCGGCCUGUGCGCUGUGAUUGGCUGAGCCCCUGGGUCAGUUCUGCGCAUGCCUUCUGCUCCAGCGGGCUCUCAUGUCUCUGUGAGUCAUCGGCUUUGUCUGCACAGUCCACAGCCUGGGCUCUGUUGACUGAAACUCCACAGCGACACUCGGCAGGGUCCUCUGUACUCUGUGAGCUGGUAGCUGGGUCCCGUCUGUCUCCUGAUGCUGCAGGAAAUCUGGCCCAGCGCUGCAUCAGGACCCUCGGAAUCCACACCUUUCCUGACUUCCCUGUCUCUCUUCCCAGUCUCCACUGGAUGCUUCUGGAGUAUGAGAGCAGCCACCACAAGACUGCCUGCCUGCUCCCGUAGCGCUGAGGUCGAAUCCCUCCUUCUUCAACUCUUUAAUGACUUCCCUGUCAUUCAGAAUGUCCCAGCCAGGCUCAGUGGUGCACACCUUUAGUCUCAGUGUGCAGGAGGCAGAGGCAGGCAGCUCUCUGUGGAUCAAAGGACGGACACAGUCCAUAGUCAAGGUCUGUACGUCGCGUUCCAGGGAAGUCAGGGGUACAUAGUGAGACU